GCCCCUGCGGUGCGCCCUUCUCUUCCGGUGGCGGCGGCGGCGGCAGCGGUGCAGCCAUGGCCAAGUCCAAGAACCACACCACGCACAACCAGUCCCGUAAGUGGCACAGAAAUGGCAUCAAGAAACCCAGGUCCCAUAGAUAUGAGUCUCUCAAAGGGGUUGAUCCCAAGUUUCUGAGGAACAUGAGAUUUGCAAAGAAACACAACAAAAAGGGGCUGAAGAAGAUGCAGGCCAACAAUGCAAAGCAAGCUGCUCAGCAGAAAAAGGAGUGACGUGGUUUAAGUCAAAAGAACCAGUUUUCCUAUUGGCAUGUAUAUUACAGCAUUUUUGUAAAAAUAAAAUUGCAUGUAACAAAGCCUUCACCUCCUGAAUUUGAGGAGAACCAUCCAAAAGUCUUGCUUGGGUUGUAUUCUGGAUGCCAGCUGGAGUUGGGGAAAGGUUUUGUGUUAAUACCGUCAGCCUCCACACACACGAAGUAAAACAGCUGCUCCAUCCUCAGUGCAGUUCUGCUGUAAUCGUUGGUACACAUCAUGAGCAUGUAGUAGCUUGAAGUCGCUUUUCAAGUUGUGAAGUGGUUAUUGACUGAGGCUUUAAAAUUUAAACAAAAACUGACUUGUUUCUUUUCCUAUAAAUUGAAGACAGUGUUGCCUGGACUUUGAGGUGACAGUACUCAAUACUAUCAAGUAAAAUUAUUUUUGCUUUAGGCACACAUGUUCAGA